GCUACGAUGUUCUCCUCUGAAUUCCUGCUGAUGGUGUUGUCUCUCACCACUUCCCCGAUGUACUUCAUCAGGCCAUAAUGGGUGCCUCCAGUGAGAAUCCAAGCACCUGUCAACGAGGGAAGAGAGCAGAUAAAUGCUCAGCUGGCUCUGAGUAUCGUUCUUGUCCUGUGGCCACACACCCCCAAAGAAGCCUCCACCCUGCGAGCACCAGGGCCCAGCACUGCCAGCCACACCUUAUAAUGGGCCUUGCCAGGGGCCGACCGUAUGGAAAAGAAGGAAAAGAAGGUCUCAGGAGGCGUUUCUAGAAGAUCCUGCUUUUAAAAAGACACAGAUUCUGGGAAUCGCUCUAGAUCUUAAGCAUCAGCGUCUCCGGGGGGAAUGGAAGGGGCCGAGGGAAUCUACAUCCUUAACCAGCUUCUCAGACUCAACCCUCCAUGUAUCACUGGCGUCCCGGUGGGAGUCCAUUCAUACCGGACUUCUCCACCCUGGAUUCAUCUGUCUGCAUCGGCAGGAAGUCCCUGGGGAUGAUUUGAGAGGAGCGACUCACAGGAGGUGUACAUGGGCUCUGCGAAGCCUGUUGUUGGUGUUUUAUUAUUGUGUCCUGAUUACAGCCCGCCCUGGGUGUGAAUGGCUCCAGGGAGCAUGUCGCCUCCCCAGUCAGUCCCCGUAAGGUGUAAUGAAGGCAGUUGUGACCAAGACAGAAGGAGAGGGUUUGCUCAGAAAAGAAGUCUCACGACCCAGCAGCGAAGUGCCUUCCCGAACUGCCUCCAGUCCUCUUUGUGCAUGAAACUGGCACCCUCCUCAGGGGUGGCAAACCCGGGCACCAUCGUGGCACCCAACAUCAAACCGGAGAACGUUCUCAGCUGUCUGGUGGACACGAGCUCAGUGUCCUACACAGUGACCCCUGGCAGAGUGGGAACAGCACAGGCUGAGGCUGAGGACAUCGCGAGGCUCUGCCCCAUCAACUCUCCAACCCGGACAGGAGCCCCUCGGGGCAACCGCGCCACCCCUUGCUGUGGCCGUCACGUGUGGAGCCACGGGGAACACGGAUAGAUGGGCCCUGAAAGUAACACGCCUUUCAGAAGAAGAAAAUGAUCCCUGUAGAGGAGGCACCAUAGUCAAAAGGCCAACAGGGUGCACAAAGUUUGGAAGAGACUUACUGAAAGAUUGCUGGGUACAAAGGAAGGAAAGAGCAAUUCGCGAGCAGAGGGUAAAAGGAGAGAGACUCCAGACGUGCGGGGCUGACCCAGCACAUGGAAAGCCAGCCUGCUGGGGCUGCUAGAAACUGCCUGCAGCCUGAUCUCGCUGGGGGCCUAAGCAAAGGGGUGAGCACGGUCAGGUGCAAGCAAGAUCAACCCCCCCCCCCCAACCAUGCCCUGAGCCAGCAGCCUUCAGGGUACAAAGAGCUCCUGGGUCAGGGGAGGGGGUGGGGCCCGAUGGGUGGGACGAUAAAGCGGGCUCCUUCUAGCGACCGUGAAACAGUUCCAGAACCUGACUGGUGGUGGUGGUUACCCAAAUGUGCUCCUGCUAAAAUUGAAUAAAAUGACACACGCACAGAGGAGUACAUCUCAGUGAGAAAUCUGAGUGCAGUCUGUGGGUGAUACCGAUGUC